AACGAACGCUGGCGGCGUGCCUAAUACAUGCAAGUUGAGCGCUGAAGGUUGGUACUUGUACCAACUGGAUGAGCAGCGAACGGGUGAGUAACGCGUGGGGAAUCUGCCUUUGAGCGGGGGACAACAUUUGGAAACGAAUGCUAAUACCGCAUAAAAACUUUAAACACAAGUUUUAAGUUUGAAAGAUGCAAUUGCAUCACUCAAAGAUGAUCCCGCGUUGUAUUAGCUAGUUGGUGAGGUAAAGGCUCACCAAGGCGAUGAUACAUAGCCGACCUGAGAGGGUGAUCGGCCACAUUGGGACUGAGACACGGCCCAAACUCCUGCGGGAGGCAGCAGUAGGGAAUCUUCGGCAAUGGACGAAAGUCUGACCGAGCAACGCCGCGUGAGUGAAGAAGGUUUUCGGAUCGGAAAACUCUGUUGGUAGAGAAGAACGUUGGUGAGAGUGGAAAGCUCAUCAAGUGACGGUAACUACCCAGAAAGGGACGGCUAACUACGUG
rnacentral:rRNA from 1 species